UGCUUGCUAUGCUAAUGCCUUGGCUUUGGCCAUCGCUUCCUCUCCGGCUAUCAUCCCCCACCCCAUCCCAAAAGACAAGGCCGCUGGCGGACGCCCACCCAGCAACACCAACCAAACAACCAACCACACCUUUCCUCGCCGCCGCCCCCGCCCCUGCCCCCGCCCCCGCCCGCCGGAGAAGCAGAAGCAGAAGCAGAAGCUCAAGCCCCCUUCCGGUCCGGCAGCCAGCAGGACCCUACGCCUGCCUCAUUUCCUUUCGCCUGAGGCUUCAUUUCGCUCAUUUAUAUGCUUGCUGGACCCCUGCUUCAACUGAUGGUCGUAUACCUACAAAGGAGUUUCUUGUAAAUUCCCACCCAUAUUCAACUCUGCUAUCAUCAUUUUCUUCACUCGCAUUUGGCAAUAAUGUCCGAGAGCGAGUUAGAGAUAAUAAAACCAGAGGCAUUGAAGACUUAUAUUUGGCUUCAGUGCUUUGAUGGUUCCAUACAACAAGUGGAGGAGGAGGUUGCCAUGUUCUGCCCCAUGAUAUGUAGGGAAAUAGUGAAAAAUGGCACAGGGUCAUCCAAAAAUCAUGCCAUUGCUCUCCCGGAAAGAGUUAAUCCGCCCAGUUUGAGUUUAAUUCUUGACUAUUGUCGGUUUCAUCAGGUCCCUGGGCGCUCAAACAAGGAGCGCAAGUCGUUUGAUGAAAGGUUUGUUAGGAUAGACACAGAAAGGCUCUGUGAAUUGACUUCUGCAGCAGACAGUCUACAGUUAAAGCCACUUGUUGAUCUUACUAGUCGAGCUCUUGCUCGAAUAAUUGAAGGAAAAACACCUGAGGAAAUUCGUGACAUUUUCCAUUUACCAGAUGACUUAACAGAGGAAGAGAAAUUGGAGCCUCUAAAAAAUAUAAAUGAUGAUCCUAGGAUUCGCUUAUUGAACCGAUUGUAUGCAAAGAAACGCAAAGAGCUACAGGAGCGCCAGAAGCUAAAGGAUGUUCAAGUACAAGAAGAACAAAAAGAUGAGAGAUCUUUGGAUGAGUUACUUUGUUUUAUAAACGGGGAUGGAGGUUCUGGAGGUGUGAAAGCUGCCAAGAGUAAGAAAAAGAAUAAAAGGAGGAAGGAUCAACCUAAGAAUCCACCAAAAGCUUACUCUGAACCUGUAAAUAAGGAGGGAGCUGUUUGUGUGGUUCCGCGCAAAGUGGAUAAUUGCAAUAUAUCUAGACUUCCAUGCCAAAGUCCAGAUAUACAAGAUGAUGUUGAGGAUCCCUUUGAAGAUGCUGACCUUGAUGAUGGACUUGAUCCUGCAAUGAAAGAAGAGCUUGAUAGAACUUAAAUUGUGUCUGGAAAUCCUGUACGUAAUCCAUGAAGAUCAAUUUCAGAGAGGUCGAAGACUUUGCAAGGAGGUUGAAUUCAGUGUGGCCUGAAAGAAUGCAUUUGGGACAGGACAAAAGUAUUGAGUCACAUGUUGGUGGUAAUGGUUCUCUGCAGAGAUUUACUGGGUUCAAUCACAGCUGAGUUUUUCUGUGAGGAUCACAAGAUGGAAGCAGAGGAGAUUUGUGGGCGUAUGCUUGGAGAGAACUAAAGACCAAACUGGCCACCACCUGGCACCUGAUUGUUGGAAAUGCUUGAUGACUCAGAACCAAGCAUGCGGACAGCGCGGCUGUCAUUUCCCGUGGUCAAUUUCUGUGGCAGGGGGGCGCCAAGGCAGGAUGAAGCAUAGCGAGGUUUAGGCUCAAGGAAAAAGACAGGGGCCCUUAUUUCUGUGGGGAGGAUUGGUUAGAGGUCUGUUGUUGACUCGGUUUUUCCUUUGCUGCUGUGUUGCCAAUUUUCCCGGAUAGAUAGUGGUGAUGGCAGUUGAGUUGGAGCUAGCUGUUUCAUACAGAUAUCGAUCUCUGUGAAAUUCCGACCCGUUUAUAUAUUCACUUAGUUGUGUGUGGUGCACAUAAAAAUGUGGUGGUGGUGUUAAGUUCUGUUGGUGACCUGACCUGACCUGUUCUUGGUUGAAAUUACUUGAUGUACUGGGACUAGCUACUGGUCAUGCGUGGUCCAUAUAUAUGUGAAAUUGAACUAGCUAAUGAAAGUAAUUUUUUCAGUA